UGUUGAAUGAAUGAAUGAAUGAAUGGGAGAGAACUUCUAUUAUUUCAGACAACCUGCUCAGCCAAAACUUCACCACCAGCAAGUUCUCUGUUAAUUAUCGUUUGUCCCCAUCCAAAAGCCUGAGCACUGUGCAUGGUGUGGGAGAGAAGACACGUGGGAUCCACUUUCCUCCUGGACAAGAGGUGGGGCUGGGAAGAGGCGCUGGGCCAUCGGCCACACCUGAGCUAAUAUUCCUGGCGCAUCAGGUGCUUCUCAAGUGUUUGUGGACAGACGGCUGCCUUGGAUGAAAUGGUAUUCACCAGGCGUGUCCUUUUACUGUCCAGUUUGGUCACCAAGAUUCUCCCCUAUUUUAAGAGGGAGCUGAGCAGCUUCACAAGGCUAGUCUUGUUUGGAUGCGUAGCACAAUGAAUUUGUACCCGCCGAGCCUCCAGCGCUGGUAUUUCAAAACCUACAGUACACUAAACGUAAAACUUUUGUUCAAAUUUCAAGGAUUUUGAUAGCCCAAGUGAAUAGACACUGCCUAUUGAUUUUUCCCUUACAAUGACUCUUGGAUAACCUAUUUUCUCAUUUAUUUUUAAAGACAGCUCAGGAGAUUUCAUAGCAAUUCUGCCUAACCUCCUAAUAUCAAAAUCCCUCCUUGACCCUGAAAAUUGUAAUUCUGCUAUAGAUCACAGCUGCUGAAUAUUACCUUUUACUAAGAUGGUUAAAUAAAAUAUGUCCAAAUCACUAGAUCCCACAAGCCAUGCGCUGCAAGUCUAAUGAUCCAGAGGCUGAGGUUUCGGCCGCUGUACACUCAGCAGCCCCGCGCUCUUGCCGGCCGACACCACAGUGUGGGAAUCGAGAAUAUCGGCUUCGGCUUGGAAUUUAAGGAGGAGGAGAGAAAAAGGAUAGCUCGGCUGGUCUUCAAUGAUUUUCUUGUAAAACUUUUACAAGGGAGACUUAGGCUGUUUGAUGUGUUCUAGACAAUCAAAUGCCCGCCGAGUCUGCGGCAGAGAGUGGCUGGUUUUCUCCCUAGUGGAGGAGGGGGUGUAUUUUGAUGUAGGGCAAGUUCAAAACCCCCAAAGCCUUGCACGCUGGUAGGUCGGAUUACACUCGCAAGCUGGGGGAAAAUACAACACGUAAAAUGUGAAAAAGACCUCUGACCCUGAAAGUCUCAUUCUGCCCAGGCCAGGGCUGUUAGUGGGCUCUUAGUUAGGCUGGAGAGGGCCUGGGUAUCAUUUACCCCAUGGAGGCUUCUGCCCUGCCUGCACCCCGUCGGGCCCCUAUGCAUUCCUGCUCUCACCUGC
rnacentral:lncRNA from 1 species